rnacentral:rRNA from 1 species
UACGUAGGGUGCAAGCGUUAAUCGGAAUUACUGGGCGUAAAGCGUGCGCAGGCGGUUUUGUAAGUCAGAUGUAAAAUCCCCGGGCUUAACCUGGGAACUGCGUUUGAAACUACAAAGCUAGAGUGUAGCAGAGGGGGGUGGAAUUCCACGUGUAGCAGUGAAAUGCGUAGAUAUCGGGAGGAACACCAGUGGCGAAGGCGGCCUCCUGGCUUGUACCUGACUCUGAAACGCGAAAGCAUGGGUAGCAAACAGG